rnacentral:rRNA from 1 species
UGACGACCUCAGAGCAGGCGAGAU